AUGGAUAGUUCAGGAGUUUUUUACACAUAUCCUACUCUGGGUGAUAAGCCGUUGCAGAGCCUUGAAGAAGUUGCAAGUGCUGUUGAUUCCUAUGCUAAUCCCAAUAGCAAUGUCAUGUCUGAUAAGAUGCUUUCAGAGAAGGAACGUGCUGUACGUGAACGUCUUUACUUUCCAGAUGGCACCCCGAAGGUCUACACAAGGGCUCAAGUAGUGAAGAGGGAACGUGACAAAGUUCGGAGACUGGUUGAAGCUUUACUGGACAAGCGGAAUGACGCUGAGGAUCGUGUGGAUGAACUCGAAGAAAUUGUUCAUUGGCAAUCAAUCUGCAAAGGUGUCGAAUGGUACUAUCAUCUCAAUAUCACUGUGAAGACCAAAGGAGCUGCCGAUGAUGCGGGCAGCACCAGUCUAUUCUUCGUUGAAGUCGCAUGUGAUUCGAAUGAUAUCACAGGAUAUUAUAUCAACACUUUCUCCAGGGUCGACACUGACGGCCAGGAUCGUGGAGCUACCUGCAAUGGCUGUAUAAACAAUGAAAGUGAUGGUAUGAAGCACCCGCGUGCUGCUUCAUUCAAAGGCGGCCACAUGAACAUCGGUUUCCCACUUGGUUUUGGUCCCUGUAAUGAGAAGCAGUGGGUCGACUCCCGUCACAGUGAAGCUCAGUAUGAAGAAAUGCUAAAAAAAGAGGAGGAAAGGAUAAGAGACCAUUUUGAGGCUGUUCAAGCAUCGAGACGAAACCCAAUCUGCUGGCAGCACGUCCUUAGCUUCGGCCCUGUUCGCAUAGACUGCCACGUCUCUCGUGCCCCCCCUCGCUGUGCUCUGGCUAUCCUCGGCAGGGCUGCAGUGCCGUUGCACCAUUGGGUGAUACUAGCAUUGUGCCUAGGUGGCGUGCACAGAGUUUGUUACGCAGCUAGUGCCUGCUCCAACAUUGGCACUGGCAGCCACAACACCCAUUACAUCCGAAGGGCAUCGGAAACAUCUGUUAGUCGGCCUGCAACAGCAAAAAGCAAAUCCCGAGUUAUGUCGCGAGCUAAACAUCCCCAGCCGCCCUGCCGGGUACUGUUAUUGUAUCCUGCAUCAACAUUAAUCAUCACCCGGUCGAUGGGCGGGGCUUUCCACCUGGCUUAUGCCCGGCUCGUUCGCCCCUCGGACAUCCGAGCCCACGUAGAUGGCUUCUACAAAGCCCUAUUCUCCCCCACCCCUCAGGGUGGUGCUGCUCUGGCCCCCGAUACUUGGUCGGUGGGCCAGUUAGUUUUUGACGAGACUAAUGCCGCCUUGGUGGCACCUUUCUCGGAGGACGAGGUCCUCGUGGCGAUCAAGGGCAUGAACCCCUCCUCGGCCCCGGGUCCGGAUGGCUUACCAGUAACCUUUUUCAAAACGUUCUGGCUAACCAUCAAACCAGAGGUCAAGGCCCUCUUAGAUGAAUUCUUUUCGGGGACCAUGGACCUUGGGCGCCUGAACUAUGGGGUCAUCACUCUCAUCCCCAAAGUUCCGGGCGCCUCGGACAUCCACCAGUUUCGUCCUAUCACUGAGGCCCAAACCAUUCCUGACCGGCUGAACUGCCGCCUGGGUACCUUCCCCAUGACUUAUUUGGGGAUACCCAUUAGUGAUUCUCGGCUUACCAUCGCUGACCUCCGCCCGACUGUGACCCGGAUGCAGCACAGGGUUGAGCCCUGGAGGGGGAGGUGGCUCUCGAAAGCGGCCCGGGUAAUCCUCAUCAACUGCUCGCUUGCUAACCUUCUCUGGUUUCUCAUGAGCUUCUACAGUCUUCAUCAGACUCUCCAUCAGGAGAUUGCCAAAUACCAGUCUAGAUUUUUUUGGGCAGGCGAGGGCGACAAGCAGAAAUACCAUAUGGUGAGCUAG
rnacentral:rRNA from 1 species